UUAAGUUCAGCGGGUAUCCCUACCUGAUCCGAGGUCAACCAUAGAAAAUUAGGGUUAAUGGCAAGCUUCCACCAGGACUCCAUAGCGAGAAGAAGUACUACGCUUAGAGCCAGAUGGCACCGCCACUGAUUUUAAGGGCUGCCAGUACAGCAAGCCCCAACACCAAGCUAAGCUUGAGGGGUUAUUAUGACGCUCGAACA
rnacentral:misc_RNA from 1 species